UGAUGAGGUGCACCCACCUGGUAAAAUGAACUGGAAAAUAAAAUUUAAGAUGAGGAUAGGCAUUAAGUAGGCAAGUAAGCAAGCAAAAAGGGAAAAUGAAAGCUGUUGGCGCCAAUGUGAAAUUUCUUUUCUACCAUAGCCUAUAGCUGUAAUGUCAAGUGAGGGUGGGAAUCACAACGUGGCUAGCUGUAUCGGUCACCUGAAAGCAGAAAGGGCUCUGAAUCAGAAUAAUUUUGGCCCCGCAGGCCUUUGUUGCAGAGUCCUGUCCUACAUGUGAAAUUUUUAUCUGGC
rnacentral:lncRNA from 1 species